UCCUCAUUGGUCCAGUGGUUAGGAUUUCUUGCUCUCACUGAGACGGCCGGGGUUUGAUUCCCUGAUGGGGAA
rnacentral:tRNA from 1 species